rnacentral:rRNA from 1 species
AGGGUUUGAUUCUGGCUCAGAACGAACGCUGACGGCAUGCUUAACACAUGCAAGUCGAACGAAGGCCCGGGGCUUGCCCCGGAUCCCUUAGUGGCGAACGGGUGAGUAACGCGUGGGAAUCUACCUAAAAAUGGGGAAUAACUGUUGGAAACGACAGCUAAUACCGCAUAAUCCCUCAGGGGCAAAGGCUUCGGCCGUUUUUAGAUGGGCCCGCGUUAGAUUAGGUUGUUGGUAGGGUAAAAGCCUACCAAGCCUUCUAUCUAUAGCUGGUCUGAGAGGAUGAUCAGCCACACUGGGACUGAGACACGGCCCAGACUCCUACGGGAGGCAGCAGUGGGGAAUAUUGGACAAUGGGGGAAACCCUGAUCCAGCAAUGCCGCGUGAGUGAUGAAGGCCUUAGGGUUGUAAAGCUCUUUCAGAAGUGAAGAUGAUGACGGUAACUUCAGAAGAAGCUCCGGCUAACUCCGUGCCAGCCGCCGCGGUAAUAC